UACGUAGGGGGCAAGUGUUAUCCGGAUUUACUGGGUGUAAAGGGAGCGUAGACGGCUGUGCAAGUCUGAAGUGAAAGGCAUGGGCUCAACCUGUGGACUGCUUUGGAAACUGUGCAGCUAGAGUGUCGGAGAGGUAAGUGGAAUUCCUAGUGUAGCGGUGAAAUGCGUAGAUAUUAGGAGGAACACCAGUGGCGAAGGCGGCUUACUGGACGAUGACUGACGUUGAGGCUCGAAAGCGUGGGGAGCAAACAGG
rnacentral:rRNA from 1 species